AAACCAGCACCUCAAGUGGUCAGGAGGAUUAUUGGGCCUAAAGCAUCCGUAGCCUGUUCUAUAAGUUUCCGGUUAAAUCCAUUAGCUCAACUAAUGGGCUGCCGAAAAUACUGUAGAACUAGGGAGUGGGAGAGGUAGACGGUAUUCGGUAGGAAGGGGUAAAAUCCUUUGAUCUAUUGAGGACCACCUGUGGCGAAGGCGGUCUACCAGAACACGUUCGACGGUGAGGGAUGAAAGCUGGGGGAGCAAACCGGAUUAGAAACCCGAGUAGUCC
rnacentral:rRNA from 1 species